GUCUCCAAUGACAAACGAGAUGUCAAAGUGUCAUUGUUUACAGCUUUCUUCCUGGCCACCAUAAUGGGUGUGAGAUUUAAGAGGUCCAAGAAAGUAAUGCCUGCUGGUCUAAUUGCAGGCUUAAGUGGUGCCAAGGACAACGUUGCAGCUAUGUCUCUGACCUAAGAUAUUUGAUGCUGGGAAGGAUCAAAAGUCAUUCCUGAUGAAGAGAGGACCAAAUUCCUGACACUGUUCAUGAGCAUCCCCACUGAAAUACUCCUUGAUUUCUUUUC